AGUGAAUUCAGCUGUCUGGGUGACCUUUGGUUACACAAUAGCGUGCACAAUAGCCACCAGAUAUGAAUUGAUGGCAGUGACAAGGUCAUCAAGCCAGUCUUUCAAGCCAGAGCCCCUAAUACAAGGCCUGCUGGUUUGAGAGUGAUACCUGAGAGAGUCAACUCUGACAUGUAAGACUAACAAUUUUAGGCAAACAAAACAAAACAAAACAAAAAAGUCAAAAAAAACAACAACAAAAAAAGAAAAGAAAACAAAACAAAAAAACCCAAAAAACCUGAUAUAUGAUUUUUAUUUUCUUCUUCCCUGAAUUGUCUUUAAUAGGGUACAGGAAAAUGUGAUUAUACAAUCAGCUCAAAUUGAAUCAUCUUUCAUACCAAGACAUCUCUUGUGGUUCGAUGUUGACACUUUUAAAUCCCCAGGAAAAUCUCCUGUUGCAGGAGCCAUCUCACGGUAUCAUGGUAUCAUGAUUAUUAUAGUUCUGGGAGGGGAAGGCUAUGGAGAUAGUUUUGAAAGCUCUUAGCACUAGUGUAUUUGAGAUGAACGUUAAUUAUUAAUCAAUGAACCACUUGGAAGUAAGUCGGUCAAUGCUUGUAAUGUGCGUGAGGGUCAGGGAGCCAGGGGUUAGUUAUAUGUUGAAAGAGUAGAAUGUACAAUAGCUGUUAAAGCCCCAUUCCGGCACUGUCCCAUUGCUCUAUGGCUGUUGGCCACUGUCUUGGCUGGUGAGACAAUGUUCUGUUGAGUUGAAGGUAGUGAGUUCUUUCAGUUGGAAAUUUCUGGAUGAAAAUGAGCAUGUACUAACUUCCAUGUCUCACUUUGCCACCAGGUAUGUUCAGCCUGUUGCCUGUGGGGGUGCAUGCAUGCUGGGAUAGCUAUGCAUGGGCCCAACACAAGAUGGCCAGUGUUCUCAAAACAGUAUAUGAUUCUUGGCAGUUUAUUUUGUAACUCAAUUGUGUAGUUUUUGAGUGUAAAUUUUGAGCAAUGACUAAAGGUUUAACAGCUCUGGUGACCAGGCUUGUCCUUGUCUGAUUAAAUGGGCAGUUGAAAUGAAGAGUUAAAGGGAUUUAGUUAGAUUUUAUUACUAGGUAAAAUCAGAGAGUUUGAAUGGAGGAUUCAACAACCUUAAGUUGCAUUCCAGGCCAGCAUGAUCUACACAGUGAGAUCCUGGACUUCCAGGACUGCACAGAGAAAGCCUUUCUCAAACAACAAAAACAAAACCAACUACAACAACAAAAGAGAGUUAUGUCUUUUUCAUUUCAAGCUAAUUUAUAUUUCCGUUGAGUCAAAGGGACAACAGUUUUAACACCCCCUACUUAGAAAUUUCUGUUCUCUCAGACUUACAAUAGGCAGCAGCACUGUCAAAAGUUUAAUUAAAUAUUUAGAAAAAAUAUUUAAACAUCGAAAUACUAUUUUCUGGAUAGUCACAAGUUGGACAAGUCAAAGAACAAGUCCUAGGAAGGAAUUGCCCAUGGAUAUAUUUUUCUGUUCUCUGUAUUUUGCUCCUUUCUUUCUAUUUUUGCAUCUCCAGUUGAAUUCAGUCGAUUAUCUGUAACAGACCAAAAGCAUGCAAGUGUCUCUUCCAUUAGUAUCCUUUAUACUUGGUCACCAACGAAGCAGUUUUCUUCUCCCUUUAAGAGGUUGUUAAAUCAAAACACAAAUUAAACACUUUUAAUGAUUUGAAAGGGUUUUUUUUUCUUUGUUUGUUUUUGACAAGCGCUUACAUUUGCUAUACAUUUUUUGAAACAUUCAUAUUUAUUACCAGGAAAAGGAUGUUAAGUAUUUAAAGGGUGUGAACUAUGUGUGUCUUGUUUCUUCCUCUUCUUCUUCUUUUUUUUUUUGUAUUUAAAUUCUUUUUGCUUAUCUUUGUAGUAGUUUCAAAUAUUUUCAUAGGAUCUUUAAUAAAUAAUAACUAUAGACAUAUGGCAUAGUAAGCAUCAGGUGUAAUUAGUCGCUGAGGUUUAGUGGUAAAUAAGGCAGAUGUUAUAGAGGGAGAUAGUAAAACUCUGCUUCUAGGAGCAUUGCAAAGUCCCUUGAUGCUGAUUCUGAAUAUUCUUAGCUUCAGUCUUCUCUCCAUGGAACAUUCUUGUGUCCCAAGAGUCUGAGGCCGGAGGAGCUGGGCAACAGUUUAUAUUCCCUGCUCAGCUUUUGCACAGUUAUUUCCUGUGUUACAGAAGCAAGCAGUCGGGUCUCUCUCCUCCCGGUUUGCCGGGUUGAGCCGCGUUCUCAGCAGUACAUGAACAGGCUGUGUGGCUGUUCUGGAAAAUUACCUAUUUUCCUACCCCGGCACACGUUAUUUCAGGGACACAAACCUCCCUGGACUCAGUAACAAAUGACCUAUGAAAAGCAUGGGACAUAG
rnacentral:lncRNA from 1 species